rnacentral:rRNA from 1 species
UAGGGAAUCUUCCGCAAUGGGCGAAAGCUUGACGGAGCAACGCCGCGUGAGUGAUGAAGGUCUUCGGAUCGUAAAACUCUGUUAUUAGGGAAGAACAAAUGUGUAAGUAACUAUGCACGUCUUGACGGUACCUAAUCAGAAAGCCACGGCUAACUACGUGCCAGCAGCCGCGGUAAUACGUAGGUGGCAAGCGUUAUCCGGUAUUAUUGGGCGUAAAGCGCGCGUAGGCGGUUUUUUAAGUCUGAUGUGAAAGCCCACGGCUCAACCGUGGAGGGUCAUUGGAAACUGGAAAACUUGAGUGCAGAAGAGGAAAGUGGAAUUCCAUGUGUAGCGGUGAAAUGCGCAGAGAUAUGGAGGAACACCAGUGGCGAAGGCGACUUUCUGGUCUAUAACUAACGCUGAUGUGCGAAAGCGUGGGGAUCAAACAGG